AGUGAACGCUGGCGGCGUGCCUAAUACAUGCAAGUCGAACGGAGAGGCGCACAGGGGAGUAUAAUAUAGCUAAUCUUCCCCUUGCUAGGGGAAAACAGAUAGAAAAGACUGCUAAUACUCCAAAGCAAGGGAUGAGUGGACAUCGUAUCAGCUAGUCGGUGGGGUAACGGCCUACCGAGGCUAUGACGCGUAACAGGUCUGAGAGGAUGAACAGUAACAGUGGAAGUGAGACACGGUCCAGACUCCUACGGGAGGCGGCAGUAGGGAAUAGUACGCAAGGUGGGAAACCUAGACGCAGCUUCGCCUCGUGGAGGAUGACACUUUACGGAGAAUAAACUCCUUUUGAUAGGGAAGCGGUACCUAACGAAUAAGCACCGGCUAACUCCGUGCCAGCAGCCGCGGUAAUAC
rnacentral:rRNA from 1 species